GACGGAGGAUGCAAGUGUUAUCCGGAAUCACUGGGCGUAAAGCGUCUGUAGGUGGUUUAAAAAGUCUAUUGUUAAAAAUUGAAGCUUAACUUCAAAGAUGCAAUGGAAACUUUUAAACUUGAGUAUGGUAGGGGUAGAGGGAAUUUCCGGUGGAGCGGUGAAAUGCGUAGAGAUCGGAAAGAACACCAACGGCGAAAGCACUCUGCUGGGCCGACACUGACACUGAGAGACGAAAGCUAGGGGAGCGAAUGGG
rnacentral:rRNA from 1 species